rnacentral:lncRNA from 1 species
GAGGCCCUCUUGGACAACACUUCCUCUCCUGCCCAUGGUGGGAGGUUGGGAAGGACAUUCCCCCAUUUCCAUUUGCUCUGCCAUUCAAAACCUUGUGAGGGCCCUCAGGGAAGAAUCCCUUUGCAGAUGAGGAAACUGAGGCCCCACGUGGUGAAGACAAUUUUUACCCGAAUCCACCCACAACAAGAGACCAUUUGGAUAAUGUACAUUAUGGGAAGAGAACAGAGUCUCAGUGAAGAUCAUGUUUCCCCAGCAACACAGGUGCCAGGAGUAGCUGGCUCUGGUCCCAGCCCAGACUCAGAAAUCCUGAGCCACCAGACCAUUUCUAGAUUAACAAAGGCCUGCAUUAAUUUGAUUUCAGUGACCCACUGGAAACCAGUGUCAGCAUAACAACAGUUACGAGAGCUAAACCUACAAAAUAGAAACACAAGUAAAACUUGUUCAAGUGGUUUGCAGUCAUUGAACAUAGAUCAGCUCCUAUGAAAACAAACUCCAUGGGAACUACAAGAAAAGAAUUCCUGCCUGAGAAAGGAGUGGAAGACCCAUGAGAUACCUUCUUCAGAACCUCUGGCAGCCUUCCUGGGAUGUGGAAAACACUGUUUGUUUUUCCUUCCAUUUCAUUUAGAUGAAGAGUUGACUACUCGCACAGUCAUACAGUUGAUGGCAUUGUCAGGAAUAAUCUGUAAAUAAUCUGUAACACUCAUGUUUACUCAUAAACAGAUCCCUCUUUCCUGGACCAAAUUGCAGUUUUCUUUGGAAACUAUUUUAAUCAAGCCUUUUUCGUUUCAAAGUAACAUCAACUCACAUCAAACUAACUCAAGCCAGCCA